AAACUAACAAGGAUUCCCCUAGUAGCGGCGAGCGAAGCGGGAAGAGCUCAAAUUUAUAAUCUGGCACCUUCGGUGUCCGAGUUGUAAUCUCUAGAAAUGUUUUCCGCGUUGGACCGCACACAAGUCUGUUGGAAUACAGCGGCAUAGUGGUGAGACCCCCGUAUAUGGUGCGGACGCCCAGCGCUUUGUGAUACAUUUUCGAAGAGUCGAGUUGUUUGGGAAUGCAGCUCAAAUUGGGUGGUAAAUUCCAUCUAAAGCUAAAUAUUGGCGAGAGACCGAUAGCGAACAAGUACCGUGAGGGAAAGAUGAAAAGCACUUUGGAAAGAGAGUUAACAGUACGUGAAAUUGUUGGAAGGGAAACGCUUGAAGUCAGACUUGCUUGCCGAGCAAUCGGUUUGCAGGCCAGCAUCAGUUUUCCGGGAUGGAUAAUGGUAGAGAGAAGGUAGCAGUUUCGGCUGUGUUAUAGCUCUCUGCUGGAUACAUCUUGGGGGACUGAGGAACGCAGUGUGCCUUUGGCGGGGGUUUCGACCU
rnacentral:rRNA from 1 species